AAAAAAUCUAAUGUGUUGUGUCCUAUUAGUUGCAUCAAGUACCAGCUUUUCAGAAAAUGAUGCGAUGUUUACUCUAAGAUGUUCUCCUAUGCAAUGAUGUAUUCUCUCCCCACAACCCCCAGCAAGGUCUGUCACUGGAUGCCAGGCCAGGGAAGUGGAAUGAAAAACUACACCCAAGGAAGCAGGCUAAUUGGUUUGAAGGUGGGUCUGAAGUAGAAUUCCAACUGCAAGCAACAUUCUUCACCAGCAGAGUCUUGCAUGAGAGCAAAGCAGGACUAGAGGCAUACCAGAGACAACGUAGAAGAUACAGCGAUGUCCCUCUCACACAAAGCUGUAACAUGGCAUGGACAAUGGCAGAGAGUCCAGCAUCCUAUUGUCAAG